UACGAGGGGGGCAAGCGUUGUCCGGAAUCAUUGGGCGUAAAGAGCGUGUAGGCGGCCCGGUAAGUCCGCUGUGAAAGUCCAGGGCUCAACCCUGGGAUGCCGGUGGAUACUGUCGGGCUCGAGUCCGGAAGAGGAGUGUGGAAUUCCUGGUGUAGCGGUGAAAUGCGCAGAUAUCAGGAGGAACACCAAUGGCGAAGGCGGCUCACUGGCCCGGAACUGACGCUGAGGUGCGAAAGCGUGGGGAGCAAACAGG
rnacentral:rRNA from 1 species